UAUCCAUGAUUAUAUUGGCAAUUUCGAUUCUAUACAAAUUCAGAAAGAUUCAACUGUCUCAUCAUUUAGUGUCAGAAUUUUCAUUGGUAUACAUUUUACAAGAGCUAUGUGUCCUGCCCUAUAACAUGUACAUUUUAUUAGAGUAUUAUAGUAGUUCCUUCCAGUUGUUGUAAUUAUUAGUGAUUUCUUUUUCGUUCAUGUCAGUUUUGAGCAACAAGGUUUGAAUUUUUUUCUUACGAAUCUUAGUUUCCUCUUCCAGUUGCAAACACUUGCUUGGCUAUCUGGUUUUCUUAGGAUAAGAAGCCUCCAGAGUAGAACUGGACUAUUUGUGAAACUUGGAUGUAACUCCUGACGAUGCACAUUUUCUUAAGGAAAUAUCUUGAAGAACAACAUGGUGAAUCAUGCGAGCAUCCCAGCUGCAUUGGGUCAUCGGUCAUGCGUACCUCAUCGAGAAGAAGGAUGACACCGUUAUCACUGGUGUUGCCUAUUUUUGUGUCUAGAUCUUAAUUUAAGAUGAUGAUUUGUUAAUACCAUACAACAGCUUCCAACAGGAGUGAGCAAUGUGGUAGGAUACUGCUAGAGAGUGCCGCUGAUCCAAAUGUCAGAAGUAUCCUUUCCAACUUUGAAUUCUGAUAAAAAAUAGUUUUAUGAUAUUCAGUUUGUGUUAAUUUCAUAUUUGGAAUUUCAGGUCACUGUUUGUAACUUUUUCUUUAAUAAUUUGAAUUCCAAGGUUGAGGGCUUCCAUCAGACUUGGCAGGGGUCCAGGGGCACACCCAAAUUGUCCAUGGUGCAACAAGCUGAAGGUCAUGACUUGGCCGUGACGGAGAACCAAACUGGGCUAACAGAUAUCAGCUUGGCCCGGCUAACAGAGAAUAUACAGCGUGAGAUCAGUUGCAGCAUAUGUCCAUGCCACAUGACAACAUGUGGUGCCUCAGGUUUCAGUCAGUGCUUUCUGAGGCAUGGGCAUCUCGUUUGGGUUUUCCAUUUAAGCGAUGACCAUUUUGACUACCUGUUGUUCUGCUGAGUUUUUGAUGCAGUGUUAAGUAUCUAGGCUUCUACUGAUUCUCAUCUAUUCAUCCAAAUUACACAGCUAAGGAUCAUACUUAGACAGUUAAGUUCAUGUGCUUGCAGGUGACAGGUACAGCUACAAAUUUAGUACCUGGUCUUUUUGCAAAGGUUGAUGUGUUUCCAGGGGAGGGCAACUUUGACAAAAAAAAUUUAAACGGUGGCAAAAGCCUUGCCCCAAUCUAUUAAUUAAGACAGAGGUCUUGAUGAUCCCUUUGUAUUCAUGAAGCAGAAUUAUCUCCUAACUCCAGGGACUGCCUAACUGCCAUAUGCUUGAGUUCAAAAAUUGACUCCAACAUACUUCGUUCUGCACCUAGGAAGCUAUUGUAGGGAGGCAGCAUUUAGCAGGGUUUAUGCUUCUCCUUCCCGGUUGAAAUCUCUUUUCUCUAGAUGUGAGUAUAAACAACACCACAGAAUUCUGAUAUUAGUCCUUUUUUAGAGUUCAGAGAUGUCUGAUGUUUUUUCAAACUAUUGGAUUGUGAUUUUCAUUCUUGAGCCUUCACUGAAUUGUUUGUUAUGUUAUGUGAAAUGCAAUUACCAGGUAUGCAUGUCACCUCCUAACCCUUAAGACUAUGUAUGAAAUUCAUGCAAGCAACUUCUAUCUUACUGAUUUAUAGGUAAAUCUGAUGAGCGGUAAUUUAAUCUUGAAGACCACUAGAUGGUCCAAGUGGAAGACUACUUCACUGCUGGCUUCACCAUGAUGGUUGGCUUGCAGUCUUUUGAGGGAAAUGGUAUUUUAUUGUAUUGCACUGAAGUUCUGUGUGGAACAAGUAUGCAAGCUGAAUUUCUUGAUGCAUGUUGGUAUGUUUUAAUUUGUAUUCUCAUGAUUUCAUUACAGUUCAUGUAAUUCAUUGCUUUGCACUAGAUUGUUUGCCAUCUACUCCUUUGUCAGCUUGGCUUUAGCGGUGCAUAUCUCAAGUGAGCAAGGCAAAACUAUAGAAGUGUGUAGUGGUUUGGAUAAGGUUUGAUGCUAUAACUCCUAGAAAAGGUCAGGUAAGGUGUCAUUAUCUUCAUAAUGUUUCUACAGUUGGGGCCAUCACUUCAGUUAUGAACUUCUAGAGAGAAUAAAUUCCUUCUAUUGUUCACCAUUUAUGUAUGUUAGAUUUGUAUAGUUAUCUUUCGACAAAAUUUACAUAGUUACUAGGCUUCGCCAAGUCGUCCUAUGUUUUCUGUAAAUAUCAGGAAGGCACUUAUGCACCCACACUCUCAUUUCAGCUCGAGCUGACUGUUGCCCUCUUCUAUUUUUUCGCCUCACAACCUAUGGGCGUGGGCGUGUAACUGGUGAUCUGAAUGAACCUGCUGUAUAGUAGAUUUUGGCUCAUGGUAGUGAGAUCCAGGCGUAUUGCCAUGGAAGUCAUACCGACAUAACUACAAAUCAAAUUAUUGCCUUUGCAUCUUACCGAUUUAACUCAGCCCUUUGCAGAUGGUAUAAGCGUUCAAUGCUUGAUUUCUAUAGAAGC